rnacentral:rRNA from 1 species
GAUAAACGCUGGCGGCGUGCCUAAUACAUGCAAGUCGAGCGAACGGACGAGAAGCUUGCUUCUCUGAUGUUAGCGGCGGACGGGUGAGUAACACGUGGAUAACCUACCUAUAAGACUGGGAUAACUUCGGGAAACCGGAGCUAAUACCGGAUAAUAUUUUGAACCGCAUGGUUCAAAAGUGAAAGACGGUCUUGCUGUCACUUAUAGAUGGAUCCGCGCUGCAUUAGCUAGUUGGUAAGGUAACGGCUUACCAAGGCAACGAUGCAUAGCCGACCUGAGAGGGUGAUCGGCCACACUGGAACUGAGACACGGUCCAGACUCCUACGGGAGGCAGCAGUAGGGAAUCUUCCGCAAUGGGCGAAAGCCUGACGGAGCAACGCCGCGUGAGUGAUGAAGGUCUUCGGAUCGUAAAACUCUGUUAUUAGGGAAGAACAUAUGUGUAAGUAACUGUGCACAUCUUGACGGUACCUAAUCAGAAAGCCACGGCUAACUACGUGCCAGCAGCCGCGGUAAUACGUAGGUGGCAAGCGUUAUCCGGAAUUAUUGGGCGUAAAGCGCGCGUAGGCGGUUUUUUAAGUCUGAUGUGAAAGCCCACGGCUCAACCGUGGAGGGUCAUUGGAAACUGGAAAACUUGAGUGCAGAAGAGGAAAGUGGAAUUCCAUGUGUAGCGGUGAAAUGCGCAGAGAUAUGGAGGAACACCAGUGGCGAGGGCGACUUUCUGGUCUGUAACUGACGCUGAUGUGCGAAAGCGUGGGGAUCAAACAGGAUUAGAUACCCUGGUAGUCCACGCCGUAAACGAUGAGUGCUAAGUGUUAGGGGGUUUCCGCCCCUUAGUGCUGCAGCUAACGCAUUAAGCACUCCGCCUGGGGAGUACGACCGCAAGGUUGAAACUCAAAGGAAUUGACGGGGACCCGCACAAGCGGUGGAGCAUGUGGUUUAAUUCGAAGCAACGCGAAGAACCUUACCAAAUCUUGACAUCCUUUGACAACUCUAGAGAUAGAGCCUUCCCCUUCGGGGGACAAAGUGACAGGUGGUGCAUGGUUGUCGUCAGCUCGUGUCGUGAGAUGUUGGGUUAAGUCCCGCAACGAGCGCAACCCUUAAGCUUAGUUGCCAUCAUUAAGUUGGGCACUCUAAGUUGACUGCCGGUGACAAACCGGAGGAAGGUGGGGAUGACGUCAAAUCAUCAUGCCCCUUAUGAUUUGGGCUACACACGUGCUACAAUGGACAAUACAAAGGGCAGCGAAACCGCGAGGUCAAGCAAAUCCCAUAAAGUUGUUCUCAGUUCGGAUUGUAGUCUGCAACUCGACUACAUGGAGCUGGAAUCGCUAGUAAUCGUAGAUCAGCAUGCUACGGUGAAUACGUUCCCGGGUCU